UCAUUCGGACCAGAUGAGGUACGGGAAUGGACAGACCUGAGGGAAGUAGUCCCUCUUCCUUUGUCCCAGGACCCUAACACUGUUUCUUGGAGCCUUUCUCCUUUGGGUGAAUUCUCUGUUAGUUCGGCCUAUCAGACAUUAUGUCGUGUGCCGGUUCUACAGUGGCUAUCCCCACUGUGGAAGGCACCGAUCCCCUUGAAGAUUAAGAUCAUCGUAUGGUAGCUUCUACGAGAUCGUCUCCCUUCGGGGACCGAGGUGCUGAAACGCCAUGGUCCGGCCAAUGGCCUUCGCCCUUUGUGCCAUGUCCCCGAAAUGGGAACGCACAUUUUGUUUUCUUGCGUAGUAGCGCAAGCACUUUGGUGCUUUGUUCGUGAGGCUCUAGGACCAGAGUGGAAGGCCCGUGACCUUGCAGAGUUUCUGUAGGUAAGGGCCACCCAGGUUGGCCGUAAGUGCCGACUGUUCUGGUUCAUCUUCGCGGCUAUGAUGUGGACUCUUUGGACUACUCGCAACAAGAUGGUGAUUGAGCGGGUGUUCCCGUGUCGUGCUUCUGACUCUUUCUUCAAAUUUCUUGCCUUCUUGCAGUACUGGCAUCCGCUCGCUAGGCCGAGGGAUCGUGACCGUCUUCAUCUCUUGCUGGACGCCCUGGUGUCUACCGUGCGUCGGCUCUCCGACCUCCCGCCUGCUUCGUAG
rnacentral:rRNA from 1 species